rnacentral:rRNA from 1 species
UACAGAGGUCUCAAGCGUUGUUCGGAUUCAUUGGGCGUAAAGGGUGCGUAGGCGGCGCGGUAAGUCGGGUGUGAAAUCUCGGAGCUUAACUCCGAAACUGCAUUUGAUACUGCCUUGCUUGAGGACUGGAGAGGAGACUGGAAUUCACGGUGUAGCAGUGAAAUGCGUAGAUAUCGUGAGGAAGACCAGUGGCGAAGGCGGGUCUCUGAGCCGAAAUUGACGCUGAGGAGCGAAAGCGUGGGGAGCAAACAGG